UCAUCCUUCCUCCCCAUCGCUCAUUUCAGCCGGUCCUCAUCCUUCUCAUCCUUCCCUCUUGCUUAUCGCUUCUUUCCAUCGCUCAUCUCAGCCAUUCCCGACUGCAAACCGUGCCAUAGAUUCAUCUCAGAAUCAGUACAUACAUGGUCUAGCUGCUCGAGGAGUUCAUUAUAUACAUCGGGUUGGACAGAGCCUACAUCAGUGAGACCUUUUUCACCUUCAUCUUCUUAUCUUUUGUAUUGAUAAGGUUCUUCUGUGUUGUCUUCGACAUAUUGUUUUCAUCUGCAUCACUUAUCAGUAAGUGGUGAUAAUUUCCUUUUUGUCUACACCGUUUCAUAUUUUUAAAUAUUAUUUGUUUUUUUUAUUUGUUACUUUAAUUGAAUUGAGAUUUGGCUUCAUGCUGGUAUAAACUAUAUUGUUGUUAUUGUGGUUUAAUCUUAUCCAAAAUUGUCCGAUUUGGUUAGAUAAAAAUCUUCUGAGCAUGCAAAAGCACCCCUUUCUGAUCUAUAACCCAUAGCCUUUUUUUUAAUAUUGUUCUGGGGUUCCUAAUACAGAAAGCACCCCUGAUUUAUUUUUAUCUUGGGUGACAUUUUUUAUUUGAUUCUUGAGUCUUGACAUACAUACACAAAUUCCUUUGUUGUUAAUAUUUGACAUGAGCACAUUGGGUUUGGUUGUUGAGUUCAUAUUUUCUCAGAUGUUUCACUCCCAUCAAUGAAUUAUAGUUUAUCAUGUGUACUUUGGGUUUUGGCUGUUAAUGUUUGACAUGAGUACUCUGGGUUUUGUUGGCUGAAAUGUUCUUUAAAAUCAUAAUUAUGACUUUGGUAUCGAGCCUUGACCCAUUUGCUGCUAGCUAAAAUAUUUGAUUAACCAAAAUGAAGUUACCAUCUUAUCAUCUUAUUUUCAAGUGCCUCUACUGUUGUAGUUGUAAACUCAAAAUUAUGGUGAUAUUGGAUUGCUAAUUGGAUCUGACGAUAAUAUUAAAGUAUGAAAUGGCUAAUUGGAGAUGAUGAUGAUUCAAAGUCUAAAGGAUCACAAAACUGACCAACAUCGUCUUGUCUGAUGUUUGCUACAUACACCCAUCAACAAGAAAGCACAUAAGAUAAUGAGUACAAAAUAGCUCAUUACUGUAUCCAGAUUGGCAAAUUCUAGGCAGAAACAGGAUGGUCCAUCUUGUUUGGGGUUUGUGGAGUGUUCUGAAUAGAUUUUAAACACUUGGGAUUCUUUACAAUAUGAGUUUCUUUAUUUGUGGAUGGUCCAUCUUAACUAUUACUAUAGUAGUAUUUUAGCCGAGUAUAUAUUUUGCAUAGUUUAUUAACCCUCCAAAUCAGGAAAGUAAAGGCAAGUAAAGGCCAAAAGGAGAGGAUGAAGGUUUUCAGAUCCUAAAUGAAGUCCUGGAUCAGAAGUUUGGUCGUUGUCAUGGCAAUGUUGUUCGGUGUAGAGGGAAGGCGCGGGUUCAUGAGAUGGGUGCCUCCUCUUCCAGAUCGACCACAUGAGAGGUCAAUGCCCUAAAAGAGGAAGUGACAACCUUAAAAGGUCAGCUUGUGGCCCAGGACGAGCAAAUGAGGGUUAUUGUACGGGCCUUACAGAUGUCCGGCCUCCAAAUCAUGAUGCCAGCACCUCAUCUUGCUCCACCUUCGACCUCCCAACCAUUUCACCCAGCCGAUAACCAGUAGCCUGAAGACUACUUGUUGUAGUUUUCUUUUUUGUUCGGACAUCUUGUAUGUACAUUUUCAUAUCUUUUAUAAUUAAAUACUUUUUUCUUGGUUUA